rnacentral:rRNA from 1 species
AGUGAACGCUGGCGGUAGGCCUAACACAUGCAAGUCGAACGGCAGCACAGUAAGAGCUUGCUCUUACGGGUGGCGAGUGGCGGACGGGUGAGGAAUACAUCGGAAUCUACUUUUUCGUGGGGGAUAACGUAGGGAAACUUACGCUAAUACCGCAUACGACCUACGGGUGAAAGCAGGGGAUCUUCGGACCUUGCGCGAUUGAAUGAGCCGAUGUCGGAUUAGCUAGUUGGCGGGGUAAAGGCCCACCAAGGCGACGAUCCGUAGCUGGCCUGAGAGGAUGAUCGGCCACACUGGAACUGGAACACGGGCCAGACUCCUACGGGGGGAAGCAGUGGGGAAUUUUGGAAAGUGGGAGCAAGCCUGUUCCAGCAAUACGCGGUAGGCGAAGAGGGCCUUGGGGUUGUAAAGCCAUUUUGUUGGGAAAGAAAAGCAUCAGUUUAUUACCCAGCUGUUCUGACGGUACCCAAAGAAUAAGCACCGGCUAACUUCGUG